rnacentral:rRNA from 1 species
UACGAAGGGGGCUAGCGUUGUUCGGAAUCACUGGGCGUAAAGCGCACGUAGGCGGAUUGUUAAGUCAGGGGUGAAAUGCCAAGGCUCAACCUUGGAACUGCCUUUGAUACUGGCAAUCUCGAGUCCGGGAGAGGUGAGUGGAACUGCGAGUGUAGAGGUGAAAUUCGUAGAUAUUCGCAAGAACACCAGUGGCGAAGGCGGCUCUCUAGUACGGUACUGACGCUGAGACGCGAAAGCGUGGGGAGCGAACAGG